GGGGUGGAUUUCUGGGCCGUUUUUCUUGUUGUCCAUACCCUCCUUUUUUCCUUCCAUUAUGUAGCAAAUAUGUAGAAAUGUGUAGAAAUUUUAGUGGAAAAAUGCACCAGUAAAAUUAAAAAGCACAAGGACUUUCUGGGCUAGCCCGAGAACUAGCCGUUCGUCAGCCGUCAACGUGGGCCCCUGACGCCUAAACGGAAUAUUCUCGUAGAUCGUUUGUGCGUGCAAGAGCCGGAGUCGGAGCGGGAGACGGGAGCACGCAUCACGCAUCAUCAUCGCCGUCGCCAUCGCCAUCGCCCGAAAGAGCUAUCUCUUAAUUGGCUUAAUCUCCGGAACGCAGCAGCUUGCUGUCGCUUGCUUGGCCAGUGAAGGCGUGAAAUGGGUGCGCGGCAGCACGUCGUAAGGAAUACGAUCAUCGCAUAACUCGCAUAUUGAGAGUCAAGGAGCAGACCAGUCCAGAGCAGACCAGACCAGACGACGAGCGAAUUUAUUUGUACGGAGACAACUCCCGAGAGAGCAAUGAGCCAAGCCAAUGAGCCAGAGCCACCGGCGACGGCCAAGCCAAAGGCGCCGAGGUGUCGCAAGCGCCGACAGCGCCGGAAGCGGCAGAUCGCCUACCUGGCCAUAUGCAGCCUGAGCGUGGCAGUGUUCGGACUCGCGCUGGCCACGCUGAUACGACCAGCAGCCGCCGCCGACGCAGACGCUGAACUUGACGCUGACGCCUCGAACGAGAGGACGGAAAAGAAAGGUGACGACAACAAUCCCCAGGUGGAAUGGCGAGCGGGCUACGCGGGGCACGGCACCACCCACGAGCAGAUGGGGGAGCUGCAUUGGGCACCGGUUGACUACACCCCCUACAAGCCUACCGUGAACUAUACACGCCCGCCCACAGCCCCGACGACUGCAAUGAAUCCGAUUUUCAACUUCACGCACAAGCUAUACGACAGCAUAAUCUCCGAUGAGCCGGCCCUGCCACCGGGGUACAUUGUGAUGCAGGGCGACUCCCUGGCGCUUGGUCCCAAGUUCCACAAUGCCGACUUUCGAGAUCUGAUAGCCCGCUAUUGGUUGGUUCUCCUCUUCAUUCUGUUCCUCUGCGUCAUCAUUGUGGUCAUGCCGUUCGUAGCCGUCUGCUAUUGCUGCCUUUGCUGCUGCCGCCGGUGCCGUCAGGGCUGUCCCCCAUGCACCAGCAAGCAGGAUGCCCAACGACGGCUGUGGUGCGGCGUUUGUCUUCUCAUCCUAAUAGUGGGACUGAUCUUUGGCAUUGUAAUUGCCUUCGUGACAAACAGGCUGCUGGACAGGGGCUUCGAUCAGGCCACCGUGACAAUGAAGCGCGGCAGCGAUGACAUUUGCUUGUUCCUGAAGGAUGUGGCCGAUCACGUUCACCACCUGAUGGUGUACAACUACGAGGAAAUGCAGACGCACAUUUCCGAUGAGCUAAGCAGUGCCCACAAGCAUAUAUUUUUGGACUUGGCGGAUACAUCGGAGAGCACCUCUUUGGGUGAGUUGGAGCGGAUAUUGCACAACAUGCCGGAGGCGAGACAGCUGAUGGAACAAGUCGCCAAAAUGGAAACGGACUUGCGGUUCUAUGGCGCCCAACUGCGAGACGGUCUUCGUGGCAUGAAGCGGGAUAUCAACUUUGCGGUGGCCAAUCUGUGCACCACUCAGGAGUGCCAGACCUUCCUAAGCUCCAGCAGCAUUGAGUUGAUAGACACCUCCAAGUGCCUGCACUUUGAUACGAUUCCCAAUGCCACGCUAUAUCUGGAAGGCUUGAACAUUGUGGUUAAGGAGAACUAUAUCAAAAUACCCACGGACGGACUCACCCGCAUGGAGAAUGUCAGCCUGAAGGUUAAGGAGCAGCUGAACUCUGUUACACCGAGCAUGAUUCGGGACCUAAACGGCGGCAGGGACACGUUCCGCUCGCACGCGAGGAGAAUACGCAACCAAGUGGAUGCAGUGCUCAGUCAGAUUCACCUGAAGACCUCACGCUCGUCCAGGUCCUUUGAUGAUGUGUACGAUAAGUUUGGCAACAAUCGCAGCGUUAUCAGCGUCAUUGUGUGCCUGCUCAUGAUAAUGAUUCUUGGCAUCUUGAUUGUAUCUUUGCUUUGCGGCUGCUUCGGUAGACGGAAGACUGGCUAUCGCGAUGACUGCUGCAGCAAGGCAACGGCUGCCAACUGCCUAUUUCUGGCCAUUUUAUUGAUAUUCUGUAUGAUCUCGUUCAUCACGCUUAUGGGACUGGUCUACUUCAUGAUCGGUCUAGUCACUUACCAGGGAGCCUGUGCCCCACUCCGAGAUGUGGAUAAGAACGGGUUGUUCAGGCAACUGGACUCUAUGGUCGAUCUGAAUCGCUAUUUGCCACGCGCCGACGAUGCAGAACCUCUGAAGGCAGCCCCACCCCUGCGCAUGUCGAAUGCGCUCAAGAUGUGCGAGGCCAAUCAGUCGGUAUUCGAUAUGCUGCGAGCAAACAGACUGUACGACAUCAACGAACUAAAGCGCAUCAAGGUGAUGUCGUCCGAGGAGGAUUCAGAUAGCACCAAAAUAUUCGACGAGGAUAUGUCUAAAACUGAGCUCCUAACAAAGGAAGAGUUUGGAAAACUUGAAGCAAUGCGUCAAGGCGGUGCGGCCAAUUACCACAGCGAACUCUUUAAGGAUCUAUGCAGUGAGUUCACGCCGGUCAAUCUGAACGCACUUGGCGAGAAAAUGUACGCGUUGUCGAACAGCUUGGAGUCACCGACGUUUGGCUGGGCCCGAGUUUCCUUCUGGAAUGAGGGCCUCAACGCCAAGUCGUACUAUCAGAACUUUAUACCCAAGCUAACGACCAUUGUCGAGAAGAUGAAGAGCAACAUGAAGCGUAUCGACGAGCUGAUCUUAUACGAGAAUCGCGACUUUAACAACAGCAUAAGACUGCUGCUGAAGGCCGUGAGAGAAUCACAAAAUUUCAUUCAGACCAAGGGCACUAGAUAUAUCAAUGAGCUGGGUAAGAACCUCACCAGCACCAUUUCGAACAUGAUCGACGAGUACAUCUCCAUGGUCAUCGACGAGUCGAAUGAGAAUGUCGGCCGCUGUGAGCCCCUUGCCUACAUUUAUCAUCAAGGCGUUGACUUGGUUUGUCGCAGCAUGGUCGAUCCCAUAAACGGAUACUGGGUGGGCGUGCUGCUCUGCGCCCUGCUCUUCCUGCCCAUACUGUACGUCUCUCACCGUCUGAUGUGCCUGUACAAGAAGGUCUAUCCAUAUAUGGCUUCUGUCGCUAGCCAUGUGGACGUCGUUUACGAGGGCGGCAGCGAACGCCUAUACGACGCUUAUAGUGAGCGCGAGCGCGAGCACGUUCCAUUGGCUAAUGUGCCAAAGAAACGGCGCAAGGCCUACGAACGACGUCGCGAGCAGCAGGAAUACUAUGAGGACGCAUCGCCCAGUGUGUCGCGUGCCACUCGCUCCGGUGGUGGUGGCGGUGGCGGUGGCGGUGGCGCUGGCGGGGAUGGAGCUCCUGGCAGCAGUAGCAUGAGGUACAACGAUAUGGCCCCCACCGCCAAAAUUGUGGCUAAAGAUACGCGGCCAAAGGCAUUGGUGGCAGAUGGCUUCUUUUAGGGACGAUCGGUUCGGUUUCUUUUUGGUAAUGUGCGGUAAUCCAACAUUCACUCAAUGUUCGUUCUGGGCGGACUCGCUUUGAGUGCGUCUCUGUGUCUGUGUGUGAAUGGACUGGACGGACUUCAGUUCCCUGGCACCCUGCUUGUUAUACGUUUUUAAUGAUUCAUUUUAAGAUAUUGUUUCUUCUUCACCCUACUAACUUUUUUAAUUUUAUUCAUGGUUCGAGUCGGGGCUAAUACUUCGUACAGAAAUACUGCAAAUGUCCAGUCUAUUGGGGGAUACUACCUGUGUGUAACCACGGGGCUCUUUCGUUGUUGUAACCUUUCCUUGUACUCUGUCGGACAUCUUCAGAGACCACCGCUUCACCGCUUAUCCUAACGCUAUCCGGAUUGUUGUUCCAAGGUCUUAAGCACUGGCCGGACUCGGUAUCGGUGCCCACAUCCGCUAUCACCGCUUUGUUGUCCCGUACCCAUCUGUUGAAGCCCCGUGUAGGGGUAACAGUAUGACUAAUUGCCUGACUCCCCUGAAUCGCUGCUGUGCGCAUUGGGACCACGAGCCACCCCGCUACCACAAUCCACCAGCUGCGCCUCCAUCCUCUGAAUACGAACGCCCACCGCCCUACUACUAUCCGGGCGCCUCCGAACAGGACUAGGCGUGAGAGCGGCUGGAAAGAGAAGAAGACACAAGGCGCCACAUGGUGUGAAUCCACAGUUGGUCGGGACAGCUUUAGAGGAGUGGCGGCGACAUGGAAGGUUACUUUUUUUUUGGAUUUGAAGUCCCUCUUCGAUUUUUCCUUCCCCCAUCCCCGUUACUGAGACUGUAUAUUUAGUUAAAAAUCGGAAACAAAAAAUAAGUGAAAUUAUAUAAUUUUAUUAAGAAUUAUCGUAUUUAGCAUCACAUGUGUUAUAGUUUUGGCCCCGCCCGACCUGAAGAGAGAUCUGCCAUUGAGCAAACCAAUACGAUUAUAAUCGGCAGAGUUAGCAGAGACGAGACAGAGACAGAGGGCCGAGGCAAAAUGAGAAGCGUUUAGAAUAGUAGUGUUCGAAGAUUAUAAGGCCAAAUAAGGAGGGAGUUAGCCGAAUUCGAUGAUGAUUGUCACAGUCGGAGCAUUUAAUCUCCCCUUACUCUGCACGAGGGCUGAGCAGCAGGCAUGAGAUCUGAUGGGCUGUUGUCUGAUGAGAGUCUGCCUGGCUGCGAGGCUGGCAGUACGUUUUAAGGAAUCUCAUAAUUGUAUUAUGCACACUGACAGGUCAGCAAGAGGUACAGUGCCCAAACACGUAUCAACCGAUUAUAACCGAUUACACUUCCGGGAAAUCAAAAGCUAGAAAAACAAAAUAUGAACUAAAAUGAAAGCUGCCAUUUUAAUUUAGAGGAGCAGAGAUAUAUAUUCAAUGCAUUUAAUGUAUUUGUUUCAGAAACAACACACAAGAACAACAACAACAACAACUGUGAAAGCAUAUGCAUGUUUUAUUCAAACUGACAGAAUAUGCACUCACGCAAUUACCAAUAAUAUAUGUAGAUUCCGAUACAGAUGCAGAUACAUAACCAUAUUAUACAGAUACAAAAAUGUAACACGUAUUUGAACACGUUGUCAUAGUUUAGUAAGAGAAAACCAAAAGCAAAAGCAAAGGUAAAAGUAAAAGUAAAAGUAAAAGCAAAACCAGCCCUAAAGCAUUUAAACGUUUCCAAUUGUAUUAGAAGCUAAUGCGAUCUGUAAGUUUCCAAAUAUAAACAAUAUACACAAAAAUA